CCAGACUCCUACGGGAGGCAGCAGUGGGGGAUAUUGCACAAUGGAGGGAACUCUGAUGCAGCGACGCCGCGUGAGGGAAGAAGGUUUUCGGAUUGUAAACCUCUGUCUUCGGUGACGAAACGAGACGGUAGCCGAGGAGGAAGCCACGGCUAACUACGUGCCAGCAGCCGCGGUAAUACGUAGGUGGCAAGCGUUGUCCGGAAUUACUGGGUGUAAAGGGAGCGUAGGCGGGAAAGCAAGUUGAAUGUUUAAGGUACGGGCUCAACCUGUACAAGCGUUCAAAACUGUUUUUCUUGAGUGGAGUAGAGGUAAGCGGAAUUCCUAGUGUAGCGGUGAAAUGCGUAAAUAUUAGGAGGAACACCAGUGGCGAAGGCGGCUUACUGGGCUUUAACUGACGCUGAGGCUCGAAAGCGUGGGUAGCAAACAGGAUUAGAUACCCUAGUA
rnacentral:rRNA from 1 species